rnacentral:rRNA from 1 species
UGCCAGACUCCUACGGGAGGCAGCAGUGGGGGAUAUUGCACAAUGGGGGGAACCCUGAUGCAGCGACGCCGCGUGGGUGAAGAAGCGCCUCGGCGCGUAAAGCCCUGUCAGCAGGGAAGAAAAUGACGGUACCUGACUAAGAAGCCCCGGCUAACUACGUGCCAGCAGCCGCGGUAAUACGUAGGGGGCAAGCGUUAUCCGGAUUUACUGGGUGUAAAGGGAGCGUAGACGGCAUGGCAAGCCAGAUGUGAAAUACCGGGGCUCAACCCCGGGACUGCAUUUGGAACUGUUAAGCUGGAGUGUCGGAGAGGCAGGCGGAAUUCCUAGUGUAGCGGUGAAAUGCGUAGAUAUUAGGAGGAACACCAGUGGCGAAGGCGGCCUGCUGGACGAUAACUGACGUUGAGGCUCGAAAGCGUGGGGAGCAAACAGGAUUAGAUACCCGAGUA